rnacentral:rRNA from 1 species
UACAGAGGUCUCAAGCGUUGUUCGGAUUCAUUGGGCGUAAAGGGUGCGUAGGCGGCGCGGUAAGUCGGGUGUGAAAUCUCGGAGCUCAACUCCGGAACUGCAUUCGAUACUGCGGUGCUUGAGGACUGGAGAGGAGACUGGAAUUCAUGGUGUAGCAGUGAAAUGCGUAGAGAUCAUGAGGAAGACCAGUGGCGAAGGCGGGUCUCUGGACAGUUCCUGACACUGAGACACGAAGGCCAGGGGAGCAAACGGG